rnacentral:rRNA from 1 species
CUACGGGCCGCUGCAGUGAGGAAUAUUGCACAAUGGGGGGAACCCUGAUGCAGCAACGCCGCGUGGAGGAUGACGCAUUUCGGUGUGUAAACUCCUUUUAUAUGUCAAGAAAAUGACGGUAGCAUAUGAAUAAGCACCGGCUAACUCCGUGCCAGCAGCCGCGGUAAUACGGAGGGUGCAAGCGUUACUCGGAAUCACUGGGCGUAAAGGACGCGUAGGCGGGUUGGAAAGUCAGGUGUGAAAUCCUACAGCUUAACUGUAGAACUGCACUUGAAACUUCUAAUCUAGAGUAUGGGAGGGGGAGAUGGAAUUAGUGGUGUAGGGGUAAAAUCCGUAGAUAUCACUAGGAAUACCUAUUGCGAAGGCGAUCUCCUGGAACAUUACUGACGCUAAGGCGUGAAAGCGUGGGGAGCAAACAGGAUUAGAUACCCUAGUAGUC